rnacentral:rRNA from 1 species
CCUACGGGUGGCAGCAGUGGGGAAUAUUGGACAAUGGGCGAAAGCCUGAUCCAGCCAUGCCGCGUGUGUGAAGAAGGCCUUCGGGUUGUAAAGCACUUUCAGUGGGGAAGAAAGCCUUGGGGCUAAUACCCUCGAGGAAGGACAUCACCCACAGAAGAAGCACCGGCUAACUCCGUGCCAGCAGCCGCGGUAAUACGGAGGGUGCGAGCGUUAAUCGGAAUUACUGGGCGUAAAGCGCGCGUAGGCGGUCUGAUAAGCCGGUUGUGAAAGCCCCGGGCUCAACCUGGGAACGGCAUCCGGAACUGUCAGGCUAGAGUGCAGGAGAGGAAGGUAGAAUUCCCGGUGUAGCGGUGAAAUGCGUAGAGAUCGGGAGGAAUACCAGUGGCGAAGGCGGCCUCCUGGACUGACACUGACGCUGAGGUGCGAAAGCGUGGGUAGCAAACAGGAUUAGAUAUCCGAGUAGUC